AUUGAACGCUGGCGGCAGGCCUAACACAUGCAAGUCGAACGAGUGGCGGACGGGUGCGUAAUGUCUGGGAAUCUGCCUGAUGGAGAGGGAUAACUACUGGAAACGGUUGCUACUACCGCAUACCAUCGGAUGUGCCGCGGUGGGAUUAGCUAGUAGUUGGGGUAACGGCUCACCUAGGCGACGAUCCCUAGCUGGUCUGAGAGGAUGACCAGCCACACUGGAACUGAGACACGGUCCAGACUCCUACGGGAGGCAGCAGUGGGGAAUAUUGCACAAUGGGCGCAAGCCUGAUGCAGCCAUGCCGCGUGUGUGAAGAAGGCCUUCGGGUUGUAAAGCACUUUAAGCGGGGAGGCGUUACCAGCAGAAGAAGCACCGGCUAACUCCGUGCCAGCAGCCGCGGUAAUAC
rnacentral:rRNA from 1 species